GCAACAGUUGCAAGGAGUAAGUUUGAUUGUUGUGCUGGAAAAAGAUGUGACAGAAAUGGAAGAAAACGCCAUCCUUGACAUAUUCAAAACUAAGUAUUGAUGCUUCUAGAAGACCAAAAAUUAUGAGAACCAGAUAUUCCAAAAGACACUGUUGUAAUGUUUGGGCAGACACCCAAGAUGCCAACAUGUCAAAGACUGAGACAGAGUCCACAACUGUUACCACAGCAACAGAAAUUGUAACACCAUCUUAUGUUGUUGGAAAUUAAAUUAAUUCUUGCAGUAGGCCACAUCCAACCAUUUGUUGACAAUCUAGAGAUAUUGUUUGAAGCAGUAGCUACACUUAAACCUGGAGGAAAAGAGUGCAAAGAUGAUUUGGACGUUAUAGAGCCAUAGAAAGUAAUACAGGAUUCAAACAUGGAAAGGGGUGCAAGACUAGAUAAAUUGUAGUUCUACAUAAGGAUAUUGAAGAAGCUAAUCUGUCAAAGGUCCUGUCAUCACAGCCUAAUACUCCUCCAAGUGAAGCCUUGUUUUUAUUUUUAACAACAUAGAACUGGACAAACAGUAUAUUGUUGGAGACCAGUGCAAGAUACCACUUGAGACAGAUAGCGCUCAUGGAAGGGCUAUUCUUAUUGAUAAGCUGGUAUUAUAUAAUGGAUCUAGAAAAUCCCACUGCUUUUCACAACUCCUUGGAUUCAUGCAACAAACAGUAUUUAAACAAGCCUUUCUUAGUCACAAGUCGGCUUGGUAUUUACACUUUGUGGAAAAAUUG